AUCCCACUUGAAAUUUUGCUACUUCCUAUACAGACCACUGCUCAAAUAUUGAGCAGUGGUCUGUAUAGGAAGUAGCAAAAUUUCAAGUGGGCA